rnacentral:rRNA from 1 species
AUCAGGCCUAACACAUGCAAGUCGAGCGCGCCCUUCGGGGUGAGCGGCGGACGGGUUAGUAACGCGUGGGAAUAUACCCUUUGGUACGGAAUAGCCUCUGGAAACGGAGAGUAAUACCGUAUGAGCCCUUCGGGGGAAAGAUUUAUCGCCAAAGGAUUAGCCCGCGUUAGAUUAGGUAGUUGGUGGGGUAAUGGCCUACCAAGCCUACGAUCUAUAGCUGGUUUUAGAGGAUGAUCAGCAACACUGGGACUGAGACACGGCCCAGACUCCUACGGGAGGCAGCAGUGGGGAAUCUUGGACAAUGGGGGCAACCCUGAUCUAGCCAUGCCGCGUGAGUGACGAAGGCCUUAGGGUCGUAAAGCUCUUUCGCCAGGGAUGAUAAUGACAGUACCUGGUAAAGAAACCCCGGCUAACUCCGUGCCAGCAGCCGCGGUAAUACGGAGGGGGUUAGCGUUGUUCGGAAUUACUGGGCGUAAAGCGCGCGUAGGCGGAUUGGAAAGUUGGGGGUGAAAUCCCAGGGCUCAACCCUGGAACUGCCUCCAAAACUACUAGUCUAGAGUUCGAGAGAGGUGAGUGGAACUCCGAGUGUAGAGGUGAAAUUCGUAGAUAUUCGGAAGACACCAGUGGCGA